ACGGGUGAGUAAUACAUCGGAACGUACCCUAUCGUGGGGGAUAACGAAUCGAAAGAUUCGCUAAUACCGCAUACGACCUGAGGGUGAAAGCAGGGGAUCGCAAGACCUUGCGCGAUUGGAGCGGCCGAUGUCGGAUUAGCUAGUUGGUAGGGUAAAGGCCUACCAAGGCGACGAUCCGUAGCUGGUCUGAGAGGACGACCAGCCACACUGGGACUGAGACACGGCCCAGACUCCUACGGGAGGCAGCAGUGGGGAAUUUUGGACAAUGGGGGCAACCCUGAACCAGCCAUUCCGCGUGAGUGAAGAAGGCCUUCGGGUUGUAAAGCUCUUUCGGCAGGAACGAAAAGGCGGGCUCUAACAUAGCCUGUCAAUGACGGUACCUGAAGAAGAAGCACCGGCUAACUACGUGCCAGCAGCCGCGGUAAUACGUAGGGUGCGAGCGUUAAUCGGAAUUACUGGGCGUAAAGCGUGCGCAGGCGGCUUUGUAAGACAGGUGUGAAAUCCCCGGGCUUAACCUGGGAACUGCGCUUGUGACUGCAAGGCUUGAGUGCGGCAGAGGGGGGUGGAAUUCCACGUGUAGCAGU
rnacentral:rRNA from 1 species